rnacentral:rRNA from 1 species
GAUGAACGCUGACAGAAUGCUUAACACAUGCAAGUCAACUUGAAUUUGGGUUUUUAACUUAGGUUUGGGUGGCGGACGGGUGAGUAACGCGUAAAGAACUUGCCUCACAGCUAGGGACAACAUUUGGAAACGAAUGCUAAUACCUAAUAUUAUGAUAAUAGGGCAUCCUAUAAUUAUGAAAGCUAUAAGCGCUGUGAGAGAGGUUUGCGUCCCAUUAGCUAGUUGGAGAGGUAACGGCUCACCAAGGCGAUGAUGGGUAGCCGGCCUGAGAGGGUGAUCGGCCACAAGGGGACUGAGACACGGCCCUUACUCCUACGGGAGGCAGCAGUGGGGAAUAUUGGACAAUGGACCGAGAGUCUGAUCCAGCAAUUCUGUGUGCACGAUGAAGUUUUUCGGAAUGUAAAGUGCUUUCAGUUGGGAAGAAACAAAUGACGGUACCAACAGAAGAAGUGACGGCUAAAUACGUG